rnacentral:rRNA from 1 species
AUUGAACGCUGGCGGCAGGCCUAACACAUGCAAGUCGAGCGGAUGAGUGGAGCUUGCUCCAUGAUUCAGCGGCGGACGGGUGAGUAAUGCCUAGGAAUCUGCCUGGUAGUGGGGGACAACGUUUCGAAAGGAACGCUAAUACCGCAUACGUCCUACGGGAGAAAGUGGGGGAUCUUCGGACCUCACGCUAUCAGAUGAGCCUAGGUCGGAUUAGCUAGUUGGUGAGGUAAAGGCUCACCAAGGCGACGAUCCGUAACUGGUCUGAGAGGAUGACAAGUCACACUGGAACUGAGACACGGUCCAGACUCCUACGGGAGGCAGCAGUGGGGAAUAUUGGACAAUGGGCGAAAGCCUGAUCCAGCCAUGCCGCGUGUGUGAAGAAGGUCUUCGGAUUGUAAAGCACUUUAAGUUGGGAGGAAGGGCAGUAAGUUAAUACCUUGCUGUUUUGACGUUACCAACAGAAUAAGCACCGACUAACUUCGUGCCAGCCGCCGCAGUAA